rnacentral:rRNA from 1 species
AGCUUGCUAGGAGGCGUCGAGCGGCGGACGGGUGAGUAAUGCAUAGGAAUCUACCCAGUCGUGGGGGAUAACCUGAGGAAACUCAGGCUAAUACCGCAUACGUCCUACGGGAGAAAGCGGGGGCUCUUCGGACCUCGCGCGAUUGGAUGAGCCUAUGUCGGAUUAGCUAGUUGGUAAGGUAACGGCUUACCAAGGCGACGAUCCGUAGCUGGUCUGAGAGGAUGAUCAGCCACACCGGGACUGAGACACGGCCCGGACUCCUACGGGAGGCAGCAGUGGGGAAUAUUGGACAAUGGGCGAAAGCCUGAUCCAGCCAUGCCGCGUGUGUGAAGAAGGCUUUCGGGUUGUAAAGCACUUUCAGCGAGGAAGAAAGCGUGCCAUUUAAUACAUGGUACGGACGACAUCACUCGCAGAAGAAGCACCGGCUAACUCCGUGCCAGCAGCCGCGGUAAUACGGAGGGUGCAAGCGUUAAUCGGAAUUACUGGGCGUAAAGCGCGCGUAGGCGGCGUGUCACGCCGGGUGUGAAAGCCCCGGGCUCAACCUGGGAACGGCAUCCGGAACGGGCAGGCUAGAGUGCAGGAGAGGAAGGUAGAAUUCCCGGUGUAGCGGUGAAAUGCGUAGAGAUCGGGAGGAAUACCAGUGGCGAAGGCGGCCUUCUGGACUGACACUGACGCUGAGGUGCGAAAGCGUGGGUAGCAA